rnacentral:tRNA from 1 species
GCGGAUAUAACUCAGUGGUAGAGUGAGACCUUGCCAAGGUCUAAGUCGCGCGUUCGAAUCGCGUUAUCCGCU